rnacentral:rRNA from 1 species
GCUUGCACCUGGUGGCGAGUGGCGAACGGGUGAGUAAUACAUCGGAACAUGUCCUGUAGUGGGGGAUAGCCCGGCGAAAGCCGGAUUAAUACCGCAUACGAUCCACGGAUGAAAGCGGGGGACCUUCGGGCCUCGCGCUAUAGGGUUGGCCGAUGGCUGAUUAGCUAGUUGGUGGGGUAAAGGCCUACCAAGGCGACGAUCAGUAGCUGGUCUGAGAGGACGACCAGCCACACUGGGACUGAGACACGGCCCAGACUCCUACGGGAGGCAGCAGUGGGGAAUUUUGGACAAUGGGCGAAAGCCUGAUCCAGCAAUGCCGCGUGUGUGAAGAAGGCCUUCGGGUUGUAAAGCACUUUUGUCCGGAAAGAAAUCCUUGGCUCUAAUACAGUCGGGGGAUGACGGUACCGGAAGAAUAAGCACCGGCUAACUACGUGCCAGCAGCCGCGGUAAUACGUAGGGUGCAAGCGUUAAUCGGAAUUACUGGGCGUAAAGCGUGCGCAGGCGGUUUGCUAAGACCGAUGUGAAAUCCCCGGGCUCAACCUGGGAACUGCAUUGGUGACUGGCAGGCUAGAGUAUGGCAGAGGGGGGUAGAAUUCCACGUGUAGCAGUGAAAUGCGUAGAGAUGUGGAGGAAUACCGAUGGCGAAGGCAGCCCCCUGGGCCAAUACUGACGCUCAUGCACGAAAGCGUGGGGAGCAAACAGGAUUAGAUCC